UACGUAGGGGGCAAGCGUUGUCCGGAUUUAUUGGGCGUAAAGAGCGUGUAGGCGGCCAGGUAGGUCAGCUGUGAAAACUCGAGGCUCAACCUCGAGACGUCGGUUGAAACCACCUGGCUAGAGUCCGGAAGAGGAGAGUGGAAUUCCUGGUGUAGCGGUGAAAUGCGCAGAUAUCAGGAAGAACACCAAUGGCGAAAGCAGCUCUCUGGGACGGUACUGACGCUGAGACGCGAAAGCGUGGGGAGCAAACAGG
rnacentral:rRNA from 1 species